CCGGGCUGGGCGCUGUUUUGCUGAGUGACCUUGAGGAAAUCACUUCCCCUCUCUGGCCUCAGGCUCCCAGCCCAGAGGGUGGGACUUAGGAUCUCAAACUCCCUUCCCACUCCCAGUCACUAUCUGAAUAGGACUUAGGUGGGGAUUCGAGUGUUGGGACCCCAAUGGUCAUUAGCGAGGGCUGCCUCGAAUGACCAAGAAGGUUCUGUUGCCCACCUUGCCCUCAACACGCCUGGCUUUCGGGUCUUCUCGCUCCUCCCCCGACCUCAGUGCCCCUCACACCUUUCCCUGCCUCCUAUUCUGAGCCCGAAGGCUGGGGACGGAUGUAAUAGCCUAGAGGCUGGGGGAGGUGGGGGAGGUCGUCGUGACUCCCCCCGCACCCCCGCGCAGGUCAGUAGGGCGCGGCCUCUGGGUCGGUUUUCUCUUCUAUUUGAAAACCCAGCCGAUGGGGGCCCGCCCUGCUGCCACAGUAGAAACCCGCACCCACCUCGGGGAGCGCUGGAAGCGCUGCAGCCUGAAUCCGGCAGAGCCGCGGGAGAACUGGGUCCCUCCUCAGUGCCCCUUCUCCUGGACGGGGCGGAGGUUGCGGUGACCCGAGAUCUUGCCAUUGCACUCCAGCCAGGGCAACAAGAGCGAAACUCCGUCUCAAAAAAAGAAAAGAAAAAAGAAAAGCUGGAUUUGCAGUCACGGACUGGUUAGGAUCCCAGACCGUGGACAAGUGCCUGAGCCCCCAGAACCUCUGUGUGUCGACCUCCUGAAUUAGAGUGCCUUCUCUGUGUCGUGU
rnacentral:lncRNA from 1 species